GGGAGUGGCAGACGGGUGAGUAACGCGUGGGAACAUACCCUUUCCUGCGGAAUAGCUCCGGGAAACUGGAAUUAAUACCGCAUACGCCCUACGGGGGAAAGAUUUAUCGGGGAAGGAUUGGCCCGCGUUGGAUUAGCUAGUUGGUGGGGUAAAGGCCUACCAAGGCGACGAUCCAUAGCUGGUCUGAGAGGAUGAUCAGCCACAUUGGGACUGAGACACGGCCCAAACUCCUACGGGAGGCAGCAGUGGGGAAUAUUGGACAAUGGGCGCAAGCCUGAUCCAGCCAUGCCGCGUGAGUGAUGAAGGCCUUAGGGUUGUAAAGCUCUUUCACCGGAGAAGAUAAUGACGGUAUCCGGAGAAGAAGCCCCGGCUAACUUCGUGCCAGCAGCCGCGGUAAUACGAAGGGGGCUAGCGUUGUUCGGAAUUACUGGGCGUAAAGCGCACGUAGGCGGAUAUUUAAGUCAGGGGUGAAAUCCCAGAGCUCAACUCUGGAACUGCCUUUGAUACUGGGUAUCUUGAGUAUGGAAGAGGUAAGUGGAAUUCCGAGU
rnacentral:rRNA from 2 species